rnacentral:rRNA from 1 species
UGGGGAAUAUUGGGCAAUGGGCGAAAGCCUGACCCAGCAACGCCGCGUGAAGGAAGAAGGUCUUCGGAUUGUAAACUUCUUUUAUCAGGGACGAAGUAAGUGACGGUACCUGAUGAAUAAGCCACGGCUAACUACGUGCCAGCAGCCGCGGUAAUACGUAGGUGGCAAGCGUUAUCCGGAUUUACUGGGUGUAAAGGGAGCGCAGGCGGGAAAGCAAGUCAGCUGUGAAAUCCAUGGGCUUAACCCAUGAACUGCAGUUGAAACUGUUUUUCUUGAGUGAAGUAGAGGUUGGCGGAAUUCCGAGUGUAGCGGUGAAAUGCGUAGAUAUUCGGAGGAACACCGGUGGCGAAGGCGGCCAACUGGGCUUUUACUGACGCUGAGGCUCGAAAGUGUGGGGAGCAAACAGGAUUAGAUACCCUGGUAGUCCACACUGUAAACGAUGAUUGCUAGGUGUGGGGGGGUCUGACCCCUUCCGUGCCGCAGCUAACGCAAUAAGCAAUCCACCUGGGGAGUACGACCGCAAGGUUGAAACUCAAAGGAAUUGACGGGGACCCGCACAAGCAGUGGAUUAUGUGGUUUAAUUCGAAGCAACGCGAAGAACCUUACCAGCACUUGACAUCCAACUAACGAAAUAGAGAUAUAUUAGGUGCCCUUCGGGGAAAGUUGAGACAGGUGGUGCAUGGUUGUCGUCAGCUCGUGUCGUGAGAUGUUGGGUUAAGUCCCGCAACGAGCGCAACCCCUGCCAUUAGUUGCUACGCAAGAGCACUCUAAUGGGACCGCUACCGACAAGGUGGAGGAAGGUGGGGAUGACGUCAAAUCAUCAUGCCCCUUAUGUGCUGGGCUACACACGUAAUACAAUGGCCGCCAACAAAGAGAAGCAAUACCGCGAGGUGGAGCAAAACUCAAAAAGCGGUCUCAGUUCGGACUGCAGGCUGAAACCCGCCUGCACGAAGUUGGAAUUGCUAGUAAUCGCGGAUCAGCAUGCCGCGGUGAAUACGUUCCC